AUACGUAGGGGGCGAGCGUUAUCCGGAAUUAUUGGGCGUAAAGAGUACGUAGGUGGUUGCGUAAGCGCAAGGUGAAAGACCGAGGCUUAACUUCGGUGAGCCUUGUGAACUGCGUGACUUGAGUGCAGGAGGGGAAAGUGGAAUUCCUAGUGUAGCGGUGAAAUGCGUAGAUAUUAGGAGGAACACCAGUGGCGAAGGCGACUUUCUGGACUGUAACUGACACUGAGGUACGAAAGCGUGGGGAGCAAACAGGAUUAGAUACCCUGGUAGUCCACGCCGUAAACGAUGAGCACUAGGUGUUGGCGUAGAAAUACGUCGGUGCCGAAGUUAACGCAUUAAGUGCUCCGCCUGGGGAGUACGCACGCAAGUGUGAAACUCAAAUGAAUUGGCGGGG
rnacentral:rRNA from 1 species